ACACUCCUGCGGGAGGCAGCCGUGGGGAAUUUUGGACAAUGGGCGAAAGCCUGAUCCAGCAAUGCCGCGUGAGUGAAGAAGGCCUUCGGGUUGUAAAGCUCUUUUGUCAGGGAAGAAACGGUGAAAGCUAAUAUCUUUUGCUAAUGACGGUACCUGAAGAAUAAGCACCGGCUAACUACGUGCCAGCAGCCGCGGUAAUACGUAGGGUGCAAGCGUUAAUCGGAAUUACUGGGCGUAAAGCGUGCGCAGGCGGUUUUGUAAGUCUGAUGUGAAAUCCCCGGGCUCAACCUGGGAAUUGCAUUGGAGACUGCAAGGCUAGAAUCUGGCAGAGGGGGGUAGAAUUCCACGUGUAGCAGUGAAAUGCGUAGAUAUGUGGAGGAACACCGAUGGCGAAGGCAGCCCCCUGGGUCAAGAUUGACGCUCAUGCACGAAAGCGUGGGGAGCAAACAGGAUUAGAAACCCCUGUAGUCCCAUGA
rnacentral:rRNA from 1 species